GGACCGCUAGCCAAAUUGGAAAAGGCACUUGACCACUAAUCAAGAGACAUCGUUCCAGCUUGGACCCUCGGACGCUUCGGCGCCCCCUAGCUCAAGCCUACAAGAGAUUCCAGGUUCGAAUCCUGGGCGGUCCG
rnacentral:tRNA from 1 species